rnacentral:rRNA from 1 species
UACGUAGGGGGCAAGCGUUGUCCGGAAUUAUUGGGCGUAAAGAGCGUGUAGGCGGCUCGAUAAGUCCGCUGUGAAAGUCCAGGGCUCAACCCUGGGAUGCCGGUGGAUACUGUCGGGCUAGAGUACGGAAGAGGCAAGUGGAAUUCCUGGUGUAGCGGUGGAAUGCGCAGAUAUCAGGAGGAACACCAAUAGCGAAGGCAGCUCGCUGGGACGUUACUGACACUGAGGCGCGAAAGCGUGGGGAGCGAACAGG